rnacentral:rRNA from 1 species
UACGGGGGGGGCUAGCGUUGUCCGGAUUUACUGGGCGUAAAGAGCGCGCAGGCGGUCGUUCAAGUCGCGUGUGAAAGCCCCCGGCUCAACUGGGGAGGGUCACGCGAUACUGAUCGACUCGAAGGCAGGAGAGGGAAGUGGAAUUCCCGGUGUAGUGGUGAAAUGCGUAGAUAUCGGGAGGAACACCAGUGGCGAAGGCGACUUCCUGGCCUGUUCUUGACGCUGAGGCGCGAAAGCUAGGGGAGCAAACGGG